rnacentral:rRNA from 1 species
GCUAAAUACUCCCUAGUGACCGAUAGUGAACCAGUACCUUGAGGUAAAGGUGAAAAGCAACCCGGAAGGGGAGUGAAAGAGAUCGUGAAACCGUGUGCCUACAAGUAGUCAGAGCCCGUUAAAGGGUGAUGGCGUGCCUUUUGUAGAAUGAACCGGCUAGUUACGAUCCCGUUCAAGGUUAAGCAGAAGAUGCGGAGCCGCAGCGAAAGCGAGUCUGAAUAGGGCGCAUG